CCUACGGGAGGCAGCAGUGGGGAAUAUUGGACAAUGGGCGAAAGCCUGAUCCAGCAAUGCCGCGUGAGUGAUGAAGGCCUUAGGGUCGUAAAGCUCUUUUACCAGGGAUGAUAAUGACAGUACCUGGAGAAUAAGCUCCGGCUAACUCCGUGCCAGCAGCCGCGGUAAUACGGAGGGAGCUAGCGUUGUUCGGAAUUACUGGGCGUAAAGCGUGCGUAGGCGGUUAUUCAAGUCAGAGGUGAAAGCCCGGGGCUCAACCCCGGAACGGCCUUUGAAACUAGAUAACUAGAAUCUUGGAGAGGUCAGUGGAAUUCCGAGUGUAGAGGUGAAAUUCGUAGAUAUUCGGAAGAACACCAGUGGCGAAGGCGACUGACUGGACAAGUAUUGACGCUGAGGUACGAAAGCGUGGGGAGCAAACAGGAUUAGAUACCCUGGUAGUCCACGCCGUAAACGAUGAUAACUAGCUGUCCGGACACUUGGUGUUUGGGUGGCGCAGCUAACGCAUUAAGUUAUCCGCCUGGGGAGUACGGUCGCAAGNUUAAAACUUAAAUGAAUUGACGG
rnacentral:rRNA from 1 species